GACGUAGGGCGCGAGCGUUGUCCGGAUUUAUUGGGCGUAAAGAGCGUGUAGGCGGCCAGGUAGGUCCGUUGUGAAAACUCGAGGCUCAACCUCGAGACGUCGAUGGAAACCAUCUGGCUAGAGUCCGGAAGAGGAGAGUGGAAUUCCUGGUGUAGCGGUGAAAUGCGCAGAUAUCAGGAGGAACACCAGUGGCGAAGGCGGUGGUCUGGGCCGGAACUGACGCUGAGGAGCGAAAGCGUGGGUAGCAAACAGG
rnacentral:rRNA from 1 species